CAUACACGCCCUCACUGAGAGUGCGCAGGCGCAGCUACCGCUCUGCCCUCUGGGAAUUAGAGUCUUGCAGCCUCUGUCCGGGUCGUUGAGUGCUGGGAUCUUGGAUCCAGAAAGAACUACAAAUACCGUGAGGCCAAGCGGUUCAGCUCCCGCGGAGAGGAGGAAGAGGAAGGCAGUAGGAAGGGGGGCAGAAAGGAAGAGUGUCACUCAUGUUGGCUGCCGGGAGUUGUAGUUUUAACUGGAUCGCCUUUGUCGACUUUCCACUUCUGGGGCGCCAGCAAAAGAGAAUGAGAGACCACAUUUCCUAGGAUGCCCUGCGGUGCGUUCAGCCUCACUUCCCCCGUCGGCGGAGAAGAGGAUACGGGGAAGCUUGGUAAAAACAGAAUUAAAGGGAAUGGGUGUCGGAAGCGGAGGGUCUGAACUUCUCGACUCGUAGAAGGGGAGGGGAAUGAAAGGCUCUCAGUAAAGAAGGUACCAAAAUUAUUUCUGAACAACCAGUCUGUCUCAGUUUGUAUUUUGAGGGAAUAAAAAGGAAAAGGGAAUCUUUGGGCACCUUCUGGAGCUUUCAGGUUGUUCCCAAGUUCUGAUGGUCAUAAUCAGCAUUGCUAUAAACAUCUCUAAUCAGGAAUUGAUUUAGAACACUUGUUCUGUAUUCAGAAUAUGAAGGUUAAAAUGAACUGUCCGGACAAAAAUCUGAACAUGGAGCUUCUAACAGCUUUAUUCAUAAGUGGCAAAACAUGGAAGCAAACAAGAUGUCCUUCAGUAGGUGAAUGGAUAAACUGUGGUAAUCCAUACAACAGAAAAUUGUUUAAUGCUAAAAAGAAAUGAGAUAUUAAGCCAUGAAAAGACGGGGGAGAGGCUUUAAUGUAUAUCACUAAUUAAAUGAAGCCAUUCUGAAAAUGUUAUAUACUGUUUGAUUCCAACUAUAUGACAGUCUGGAAAAGGCAAAUCUAUGGAGAUAGUAAAAAGAUCAGUGGAUGCCAGGGGUUGGGAGGAAGGGAGGGAUGAAUAGAGCCAGAGGAUGUCAGGGCAGUGAAACUCUUCUGCAUGAUACUAUAAUGGUGAAAACAUGUUAUUAGACAUUUGUCCAAGCCCAUGGAAUAUGUAAUAAUGAGAGUGAACCCUAGUGUAAAUUACAGACUUUGAAUGACAACAAUGUGUCAAUGUAGGUUCAUCCAUAACCAGGGAAGUACCACUCUGGUUGGGGAGGGUGUGUAUGUGU